UACAGAGGUCUCAAGCGUUGUUCGGAUUCAUUGGGCGUAAAGGGUGCGUAGGCGGCGCGGUAAGUCGGGUGUGAAAUCUCGGGGCUUAACCCCGGGCCUGCAGUGGGUACGGGCAGACUAGAGUGCGGUAGGGGAGACUGGAAUUCCUGGUGUAGCGGUGAAAUGCGUAGAUAUCUGGAGGAACACCGGUGGCGAAGGCGGCAUCCUGGACCGAGAUUGACGCUGAGGCGCGAAAGCCAGGGGAGCAAACGGG
rnacentral:rRNA from 1 species